rnacentral:rRNA from 1 species
UACGUAGGUGACAAGCGUUGUCCGGAUUUACUGGGCGUAAAGAGCGCGCAGGCGGUCGAUCAAGUCGAGUGUGAAAGCCCCCGGCUCAACUGGGGAGGGUCAUUCGAUACUGAUCGACUCGAAGGCAGGAGAGGGUAGUGGAAUUCCCGGUGUAGUGGUGAAAUGCGUAGAGAUUGGAAAGAACACCGAUGGCGAAGGCACUUUACUGGGCUAUUACUAACACUCAGAGACGAAAGCUAGGGUAGCAAAUGGG